rnacentral:rRNA from 1 species
CCUACGGGAGGCAGCAGUGGGGAAUUUUGGACAAUGGGCGAAAGCCUGAUCCAGCAAUGCCGCGUGCAGGAAGAAGGCCUUCGGGUUGUAAACUGCUUUUGUACGGAACGAAACGGUCUGCUUUAAUACAGUGGGCUAAUGACGGUACCGUAAGAAUAAGCACCGGCUAACUACGUGCCAGCAGCCGCGGUAAUACGUAGGGUGCGAGCGUUAAUCGGAAUUACUGGGCGUAAAGCGUGCGCAGGCGGUUAUAUAAGACAGUUGUGAAAUCCCCGGGCUCAACCUGGGAAUUGCAUCUGUGACUGUAUAGCUAGAGUACGGUAGAGGGGGAUGGAAUUCCGCGUGUAGCAGUGAAAUGCGUAGAUAUGCGGAGGAACACCGAUGGCGAAGGCAAUCCCCUGGACCUGUACUGACGCUCAUGCACGAAAGCGUGGGGAGCAAACAGGAUUAGAUACCCUGGUAGUCCACGCCCUAAACGAUGUCAGNGUGUGUGGUGNUAUAUAUCAGACGAGACACGNGNGAGUGCGCGNGGAGGCGCGCGAGUAGACGAGAAGAGUAGAGNGNGAGAGCGACGACGACGACGACGGAGGGAGGAGG